GUGAGGAAUUUUCCGCAAUGGGCGAAAGCCUGACGGAGCAAUGCCGCGUGAAGGAUGAAGGCCUAUGGGUUGUAAACUUCUUUUCUCAGAAAAGAAUUAUGACGGUAUCUGAGGAAUGAGCAUCGGCUAACUCUGUGCCAGCAGCCGCGGUAAGACAGAGGAUGCAAGCGUUAUCCGGAAUGAUUGGGCGUAAAGCGUCUGUAGGUUGUUUAAAAAGUAUUCUGUCAAAGAUUAGGGCUUAACCCUAGAUAGGCAGAAUAAACUUUUAAGCUAGAGUUUGGUAGAGGCAGAGGGAAUUCCCGGUGGAGCGGUGAAAUGCGUAGAUAUCGGGAGGAACACCAAAGGCGAAGGCACUCUGCUGGGCCAAUACUAACACUGAGAGACGAAAGCGAGGGGAGCAAAUGGGAUUAGAUACCCUGGUAGUCC
rnacentral:rRNA from 1 species